rnacentral:rRNA from 1 species
UACGGAGGGUGCGAGCGUUGUUCGGAAUCACUGGGCGUAAAGGGCGUGUAGGCGGUCUGUUAAGUCUGAUGUGAAAGCCCGGGGCUCACCCCCGGAAGUGCAUUGGAUACUGGCGGACUCGAGUCCCGGAGAGGAGGGUGGAAUUCCUGGUGAAGCGGUGAAAUGCGUAGAUAUCAGGAGGAACACCGGUGGCGAAGGCGGCCCUCUGGACGGUGACUGACGCUGAGACGCGAAAGCGUGGGGAGCAAACAGG